rnacentral:misc_RNA from 1 species
GGAACAGCUUAUAUUUCAAAGACUGGCUCCGUCAACACAUUGACCUUGCUAAGAAAAUGCAAUUUUCAAUUCACGAUUAUAAUAGUGCAUAGCCCACAUCCAAAGUUAAUAAGUAUACACCUUAUCAGUACAAUUUCAACAUCCAUGGCAAAAUUCAAAGUUAUAUAUUAUGCAGUGCACCACAAUCGAAGCAUUCAUUACCAUAUCUCAAGUAGCAAAGUAUAAUCAACGCACCACAAAGCCAAACCACCAGGAAAGAGACAAUUGGUCCCCAUAUAACCUCUUUCUAGCCUCCAGCAGAAACCCGGUUUCUGCACACAAAAAUAAAAGGAGAGGAAAAGAGGGAAAAAUCAUUCAAAAACCGCAGCUUUUCAAUCAAAUUCUACAAUAUUUCACCAUAUAAUGAACAUCAAGCGAAAAUAAAGUAAUAAAUUCCAUCCAUAUUUAAAAUGCUCUACAAAAAAAUAAAUGUCAACCCUAUUUUUUUUGUGCACCCAAGUUUGUGGAGGUUUAUGGCUAAUUGUACAAUAAAAUAAAAUAAAAUAAACACCUCAGUACAAAUGGGGCUUAUGGCAUAAUCAUCAAAAGUCACACCUAAUGGUAUACAAAAUUUCAAUUAUAUAUGACGGUCACAAUGUCCAACGUCCGGGAAUGUCACACUUCCUGUUGAAUUUCUCCAGUAUUUUCCAACAAAUACAGAGUGGUUGCAUUCACUGAUGCUCAAUUCAAAUUGUGCUCGUCACUACUCAAACCUAGCCACCCUAUCUAAGGAAGCUUUUCUCACUUUUGAGUAAGGGACUAAUACAGCGGGAGCCAAUUGUCUUGAAGUGGACCUAGUGAUGUGGUGUAAGCACUGCCAACAAAAGUGAGGCGUAGAAUGUAAGAAGCAAGAUAUUAUAAAACAAAUGUAAUUGCAAAGAUUUUUAGGCUAAGUAAACAAUCACUGUCAGUCUCAAACUAUAUUUAUUCAAAGAAUUAAAAUAUCCAGGAUGACUGAGGACAAACAUUUUAUUUUCAUUUCUGGUUCUAUUUACUGUUAUUUUAUUUUAUUUAGGACAAAUUAAAAAUCAAGUUUCAAGUUUGACACAAUAAAAAAAUCAAACAUUCUGCAAUGACAGACACAAGCUGCUAAAGAGCAUAUUUCUUUGGCUGUGAACAGAGUUGAUAGAAUAUUGAGAUUGUACGAAGUUGACAACAAUUCAAUAGUCAAAAUCUAACAGCAAGGGGUUACCUGAUCUAAUGCUUCUAAAAAACUAUCAAACUUGUAAAAUAAAGUCCCAAGUAUGAGAUGUUCAAUCCAAUGGAACAAUAGUUACCAUGACCUUUCACUUAAACCUAAAACACUUAGCGGAUACUUGAAUGUGAGUUUCGAUGAUUUAAUACUUCAAAUUGAAGGACAAAUAAAACAGUAAACAAAUAAAAACCUAAAAUUAUCCAAGUUCAGCCUCCAGACAGGUGUUAAUGGUGACCAGGUCCCAUAAGACCUGGUCGUUAGUUGAAAUUAAUACCUCCGACUACUAAGAUUUUUAAUUUGUUUUGACAGCAUAUGUGCCUGUCCCUACCAUCAAUAGCACAUGGGAAAAUAGCUGUUAACAAUAGGUGGUGGUAGUAGUGGUGGUGGUACUAAAAAUAACUUGUGAAAAUGUGUUAGAGAUAGCACUUUAGAAUCAAUUAAUCACCAGAGACAAAAUUUGGAAUUUUCACACUGCCCCAACCAACUGCUUUUAGGCUGACGGGGUUCCUUCAUUAUUCAUACCCCACUCUUCCUCAGCCUCGUUUCCGUUGACAAGAACUGCACCAUCUGUAGAAUCAGCAUCCACCACAACAGCCUCCUCUUGGCUCCCUUCUUCUCCAUUAUGUUCCUCAUUUAUCUGCUCAUCUCCAUUUUGUUCUGCAGCCUCAUGAUCAUAGUCUCCAUUUUCAAGAGGUUCUUCUACUUGCAAUUUUCUGAAAGCCUCAACAAGGGUCAUUUGAGAUUUAUCAGCAUGGCCGAUGUACUCCUCUGCAGGAGGAUAUACACCCCUUGUCUCUGUAACUUUAGAUUCAACAGAUAGAGCCACUUGCCAAUCAUCAAACAUAUUUGGAUACUCAUCAGGAUCAGCCAAAGAUUCAGCAGCUUUUGGGUUAACCUUGUUGAGAUCUUUUCUCCAAAUUGCUACAAUCUCUGAAACCUUGCUUGGAAGAUAGGAUCGUGCCAUCAAAGCAGCCUCAGGUAUUCGAUUACUUUCCACCAAAAGCUGGAGGCAAUCUUCCAAUUUGCCCAACAUAAACAAACAAAGGAAUGCAACAUUGUUCUUCCCUUGCUCUUUUGCAAGCGAUGCAAGUUUUGACAUCCCUUCAGCAUCUCCUAAAGAAGAAUAUAAAAGCAACAAACCACUCAAGUCUGUUGCGCGCUUCAUACAUUCCUCAGCCAUUUCUAACUUUCCAGUAGACAUAGCUAAUUCUCCCAACUGCUUCCACUUUGACUCACUCUGAACUUCAGUGGCAAUUUCCUUUGCAAUCUCCAAUCUGCCAAGCUGUAUAGCUAGCUCAAAUUUGUAAUCAGGAUCUGUAGCUACCUCCAAAGCAUCCUCUAUCAUACCUCGUGAUUCCAAGAAACGAGCCACACUAUUAUGAUGCUCUUUAGGAAUUAAAGGUAAAAUUUCAUUGGCUCUAUCCAGGUCCCCACGCAUCACUAGAGUCUUGUACUCAAUUAAGCUAAGAAGUAGAGUGUACCCCAUAACAUUGAAUUCUUUGUCUAUUAGAUACACCCGACUCUGAUUAGCAAGAUAUCCCAACAAGUACAUUGGGCGGUCCAAAUGAUACAUGGUGGUUACCUCCCCUCCAACACAAUAAUUAAGUCUCCAGGAAGAGUUGUUGUAAAUAAAGCAAUCCCCAACCCAUAAGCCAGUCCUGACACGUUCAUUGGUUUCAUGGAGAAGCUCAAAGGCAUCCUCAACACCUUGUUCAUCAACAGGUCUUCCACUAUCUAAAUAAGAUGAAACUAGGUCGCGGUUGUAUUUGAGGAUGUAGAAUGACGUAUCACUAGCAAUUGCCACCAAAUCACCACUAUCAGCCCAAUAAAGAUUUUUUACAGUAACAUCAAUUCGCCUAAUCAACCUGCAUUCAGCCCAAUCAUAAAAACAAAUAAAGUCGUUUGCACACAUUGCCAACAAAGUCCCUCCAUAAAUAUGCUCAGCAGAAAAUGUUGGUCUGACGCUCUUCUUUUCCUGGAAAUUUUUACUGAAAAUUUUAAUCUUUGAUGUACUUUCUCUAACAGCAUACUCUCCAUCCAACGACCAAACAAAUUCCAAUGCUGAACCGAAUGAUCUGUUUCUCCAGGCUAAAGCUGUAUAUAUGAUGUACUCACCAUCUCCACAGACAACAACAAAUCUUCCAUUGGGAUUGUGCUUUAAACUUUGUGGAUAAAGAUCACAUGUUCCCAACUCCUUGACAGCCAAAGGCAAUCUCUCUCCAUCAGUAACCUCAAAAUCCGCUCCCACACUCUUAAUGUUCACAGUUUGAAUUUCAUUGUGCUUGGCCCAUAUAAUCUUCCCACUGUUAUCCAUACUAGCGACAGGUUCUUCUCGACCAAUUUUGACCAUAAUGGUUCCUUCGUCAUAACCAAUCACAAUACGGCGUGAGCCUUUCAUGUAUCCCACGGCCCAAACUCUUUCAAGGCCAUAAUUCAAUGUGUUUUCAAGCCUGUAAGUUGUUGAAUGCCAUAUACGAACUGUCCCAUCCUCAGAACCUGUAACAAUGAUAGGAAGUUCGGGAUGAAAACAUACUGCAGAGACAUUGUGCGUGUGGCCUUCUAGUGUCUGGACACAACUUUUGGUUUGAUAGUCCCAGACCUUAGCAGUGUGAUCAUCAGAACCUGUGAUUAGAUAAGGUUUAUCACCACCAGUAAAGUAAUCAACACAAUUUACUCCUUUCUGAUGGGCAUCCAGUGUAAAAUUUGGGUCAGGUGAGCCAAGAUUCCAAAUCUUUAUGGUACGAUCAAGGGAUGCACUUGCAAAAGUAUUUGUGUCUUUCGGAUUAAAUGUCACUUGCAUCACAUAAUGGGAGUGUCCCUCAAAUAUCUGAGUACAGACCCAACCUUUCUCCCAAUCCCAAAGCUUUAUGAGCAUAUCAUCAGAUGAUGACAACACAUAUGGAAGGGUAGGAUGGACAGCCACACAUCUAAUGUAAUCUGUAUGUGCCUCAAACACUUUAAUCUUAUCCAUCGUAUUGUAGUUGUAUACACGAAUAAACAUGUCAUCUGCUCCAGCAACAACCCACUGCUUUCGUGCAAUAAACUUUGCUGAUCUAACUGGUAGCUCAGUGACCUCAAAAGAUUUUGCCAUGGUCUGUGACUGGUAGUUCCAAAUACAAACAGUCCCUGAAUACAAACUCACUAGAAUCCAU